rnacentral:lncRNA from 1 species
CGAAAAUAAAAGGAGGAAAGUAAAAGACGCCAUUUAAACUCGCAUAUUUUGAGGUCUGAAAUGAGUCCCUACACAUUUUUUUGGCAAAUGAGAGGAGGAGGACACUAAAAUGAGCCUCCAUAAAGAGAAAGUUGAUGAUGGCACUGCCUCUAAAAUGAGUUGUAUAUCUCCUGGAUCCAGCUGUGUGCAUGUGAAGAGUGAUCAGGCCACAAUGAAACAUCCCCUUAAACUCAGUAAUGCAGUGACCUCUGACUCCAGCAAGAGAAAGAGACAGAGAUCGGAGUCUCCAGAACCCAGCGGUG